CUAAUUUUCAUAUUUUUCAGAAAUCAGAAAUGAACCGAGACAGAUCACCCCGUAGAGAUAGACGAAGUGGAGGAGGAGGGGGGAGUAGUGGAACCCUACGGAAAGGUCCAGCUGACAGGAGAGUCUUCCUCAACAAUCUACCGUUCGAGGCCAAGUGGCAAGAUCUGAAGGAUCUCUUCAGGAAGGAGGUUGGCGAGGUCGCCUUUGUCGAGUUGUUUGAGGAUCAAACUGGGAGACCAAGAGGUGCAGCUGUUAUGGAGUUUGCUACUGCAGAUCUUGCCAAGAAAGCUGUUGAUAAAAUGAAUCGAUUCGAAUUUAAAGGUCGUAAAAUAGUGGUCAAGGAAGAUUUCGACGUGGACCGCGACAAGUUCGGGAGGAUCAUCACGGACAAGGACAGGGAGAGGAUGAGGCCCAGGGAGAGGUCCCCUGGAGGGCCGGUCAACUAUGGAAAUACAUACGGUUUAUCCGUCAGAUUUCUAGAAAAUCUUGGAAUUGACUGUCCCCUGCACACCAGAGUUUUCGUUGCUAAUCUAGCGUAUGAUGUUGAUGAACGCAAACUAAAGGAGAUAUUUCGACUUGCCGGCCGUGUUAACGGUAUUGAAUUAACGCGGGACAAAGAGGGUAAAUCCCGUGGAUUUGCUGUAGUUGUAUACGACCAUCCAGUUGAAGCAGUUCAGGCUAUAUCCAUGUUCCACGACCAACAGCUCAAUGACAGACGAAUGACCGUGAGGUUUGACAAGGUUCCUGAGGAGGAGCCUCCUCGCAAUCUAAACCGUCUCCCAGACGGUCUGCGAGGAAUAGGGAUGGGUCUUGGACAAGAUGGUACUCCUCUAUGGGACGUGAGAAACAAUCUACCUCAGUCCUCGAACGAGGGUAAUACACUAGGUCUGGGUAACCUAGCUACAAGUAUGAGUAUGCAGCAGCCUGCUGCUGCAGCUGGAACCGGUGCUGCUCUCCAAGCUGCUCUUGCAACCAUCAUGGGAAUGGCGGGAGCAGCAAAUCCUUCAAAUAUUGGAAUGGGAGCAGGAAUGGAGACAGGACUUCUCGGCAGUGGAAUGGGAAACGGUGGAUCUGGAAUGAGUAUGGGAAUAGAGAGAUCUGGAAGAGAUUUGGACAGAAGCAUGGGAUCAUUAAACUCCAGUCUAGAUCUUGGACGUGGAAUGGGAGGUAUGGAUAUGUCAAUGGGUGCAAUGGACAGAGGUAUCGGAGGUAUGGAUCGUGGAAUGGGACUUUUGGAUCGAGGAAUGGGAGGAAUAGAUAGGGGAAUGGGUGGAAUAGAUAGGGGAAUGGGUGGAAUGGAUCGUGGCAUGAGCUCAAUGGAUCGAGGAAUGGGAGGCAUGGAUCGUGGUAUGAGAGGAAUGGGGGGUAUGGAUCAUAGUAUGAGUGGAAUGGACCGAGGCAUGGGAGGCAUGGAUCGCGGUAUGGAUCGUGGUAUGGGAGGCAUGGAGCGAUCAUCCCGAGGUAUGGAUCGAGGUAUGUCCAUGAGUGGAGGUAAGAAGAGUGACAAGAUUGUGGUGAAAAACCUACCGAUGGAAAUCACAUGGCAGGUGCUCAAGGACAGAUUCGGACAUGCAGGGGACAUAAAGUUCGCGGAGAUCAGGGAGAGUGGAGUUGGCGUUAUCAGGUUUGGAUCUGAAAGGGAUGCUGAGAGAGCAGUUUCUAUGAUGGAUGGACAGAGGUUGGACGGCAGGAAUAUAAUGGUAUCCCUCCUCUAAACUAUCCAGUAUCCAGCCCACCAUUCAAUCUGUCAAUUUAAUGUAAGUUUCCACAAACCUGUCUGCUGUCCUACUUCCUACUGUAAACUUGAUCAAUCUGACAACAUCUGUUUAAGCAUCAUGAAACAAUAAACAAUUUUUUUAAUGUAAAAAUGUAGUAAUAUCUUGAAAAGUAGCAUGAAAAUAGCUUCGAAUAGACACUUUCUCUGUCUCCUAAUUUACCUAAAUUUUCAAACAUAACAUUCGAUUGUUCAAUUUUUGCAUUUGUACAUGAUCACAAGGUAUAAACAAAAUUAAGUUGAUAUGAUUAUUCCAUAGGCUCUGACAACGGGGCGUGCUUUAUUAUGACCCUGGGUAGUUGGUAAAUCUCCCAGCCAUUUCAUCAGAAAAUCAGAAAAUUUGACUUCUCAAAACAUAUUGGUUAAUUUAUAAGCCUUUUCUCAAAAAUCUGACAUGAUUACACUUACAGUCAUAUCUCUAGAUCCCAGAAAGUUAUAGACAAGAAAAAAUAGUUUUAGAAUUCUUCAGUCAAAGCGGAGAUACUCAGUUUCGUAGCUCUUGUAUGUGUUAUGAAUACUGGGGUUGGAGGUGUUACAAAAAUCUAAACUAAUCUUCACUUUGACCAAAGAAUUAUUAAAAAAUAUUUGUCUCGUCUUUAGCUUGCCGGGAUCAGGAGAUAUGACGUACUAUGAUAAGCAGGGAAGAUUUUCAAGCAAUCAAACAAUAAUAUUUUCAAGCAAUCAAACAAUAAUGCUUGAUUUAGUGAGAUAACUGGGGAGUUCCCUAGGCCCCCCCCAUCUUCCCGUUGACAUAACCUAAGGAAUAUUUAUUUUAACUUAAAUUAAAUCCUUGUGAUUAUAAAACUUUACAGUUCUUGUUUGUUUUGUUGAAAUACAUCAUAUUUGUAACAUA
rnacentral:misc_RNA from 1 species